GGCGGCAUGCCUAAUACAUGCAAGUCGAAUGGAAGAGCUUGCUUUCCAUGGCGAACGGGUGAGUAACACGUAGGUAACCUACCUUAAGGACGAGGAUAACCUUUGGAAACGAAGGAUAAUACUGGAUAGGACAUUACAAAGCACAUGCUUAAAUGUUUAAAGGAGCAAUCCACCAUAAGAGGGCCUGCGGCGCAUUAGCUAGUUGGUGAGAUAAAGGCCCACCAAGGCGAUGAUGCGUAGCUGGACUGAGAGGUUGAACAGCCACAAUGGGACUGAGAACGGCCCAUACUCCUACGGGAGGCAGCAGUAGGGAAUUUUCGGCAAUGGGCAAAAGCCUGACCGAGCAAUGCCGCGUGAUCGAAGAAGUAUUUCGGUAUGUAAAGAUCUUUUAUCAGGGAAGAAAAAACAAAUUGACUGAACCUGAUGAAUAAGCUCCGGCUAACUACGUGCCAGCAGCGGC
rnacentral:rRNA from 1 species